AGAGUUUGAUCCUGGCUCAGAGCGAACGCUGGCGGCGUGCUUAACACAUGCAAGUCGAACGAGUGUAGCAAUACAUUCGUGGCGAACGGGUGCGUAACACGUGGAUAACCUUCCUUGAGGUGGGGAAUAACCCAGUGAAAAUUGGGCUAAUACCGCAUAAAAAGACGAUGCCACAUGGUGUUGUCUUCAAAGGAGCAAUU
rnacentral:rRNA from 1 species